rnacentral:rRNA from 1 species
CUACGGGAUGCACCAGUGGGGAAUAUUGGACAAUGGGGGAAACCCUGAUCCAGCAAUGCCGCGUGUGUGAAGAAGGCCUGCGGGUUGUAAAGCACUUUCGGUUGGGAGGACUGCUUCUAGCACUAAUAUUGUUGGAAGUUGACGUUACCUUCAGAAGAAGCACCGGCUAACUCCGUGCCAGCAGCCGCGGUAAUACGGAGGGUGCAAGCGUGAAUCGGAAUUACUGGGCGUAAAGCGCGCGUAGGCGGCUAGAUCAGUCGGGUGUGAAAGCCCCGGGCUUAACCUGGGAACUGCAUCCGAUACUGUCUAGCUUGAGUAAAGGAGAGGAGGGUGGAAUUCCACAUGUAGCGGUGAAAUGCGUAGAUAUGUGGAGGAACACCAAUGGCGAAGGCAGCUCUCUGGCCUGAUACUGACGCUGAGGUGCGAAAGCGUGGGGAGCAAACAGGAUUAGAUACCCUCGUAGUC